UCUAACCUUUCUUUUGCAGCUGCUCC
rnacentral:piRNA from 1 species